GGCCUGCUAGCUCAGUCGGUUAGAGCCUCGUGCUAAUAACGCGAAGGUCGUAGGUUCGAUCCCUGCGCAGGCCA
rnacentral:tRNA from 1 species